UGGGGAAUAUUGGACAAUGGGCGCAAGCCUGAUCCAGCAAUGCCGCGUGUGUGAAGAAGGCCUUCGGGUUGUAAAGCACUUUUAUCAGGAGCGAAACGCUGUCGGCUAAUACCCGGCGGAACUGACGGUACCUGAGGAAUAAGCACCGGCUAACUUCGUGCCAGCAGCCGCGGUAAUACGAAGGGUGCAAGCGUUAAUCGGAAUUACUGGGCGUAAAGCGUGCGUAGGCGGUUUCUUAAGUCUGCUGUGAAAUCCCCGGGCUCAACCUGGGAAUGGCAGUGGAUACUGGGAGGCUAGAGUGUGUCAGAGGGUGGUGGAAUUCCCGGUGUAGCGGUGAAAUGCGUAGAGAUCGGGAGGAACAUCAGUGGCGAAGGCGGCCACCUGGGACAACACUGACGCUGAGGCACGAAAGCGUGGGGAGCAAACAGGAUUAGAUACCCUGGUAGUCCACGCCCUAAACGAUGCGAACUGGAUGUUGGUCUCAACUCGGAGAUCAGUGUCGAAGCUAACGCGUUAAGUUCGCCGCCUGGGGAGUACGGUCGCAAGACUGAAACUCAAAGGAAUUGACGGGGUCAUAGCUGUUUCCUG
rnacentral:rRNA from 1 species